GUGGUAAAAGCAGAUCAUCUUGGCAAGCUUUUCAUUGGUGGCCUACAUAGAAAAACCAAUGAAAAGAUACUUAAAACGAAUGAAAAGAUGUGAAACAUGGUCUGGUAUCAGACGUUCUUUUCAUAAAGGAUUGAAGCAGCAAAUCUCCAGACCCUUUGCAUUUGUUACUUUUGAGAACGCUGCAGAUGCUAAGAAUGCUGACAAAGAUAUGAAUGGAAAGAAAUCAUCCAAGUUCCUGAGAAACCAGGGAUUAUGCUCCACCACCUUGAGACUAUGCAUAUCGUGAUUAUGGUCGCUCUAGUCGGGAUGAACAUUCCUCUAGAGGAUGUAGUGAUUGUGGUGGCUACGGUGAGGGCUAUGGUAGAGAUCAUUCUGAACAUCUAAGUGGAAGUUCUUAUAGAGAUGCAUUUCAGAGAUAUGGGACCUCUCAUGGUGCACCACCUGCACGAGGGCUUCGGAUGUCUUAUGGUGGAAGCACCCGCCAUGAUUAUAAUAAUACACGAGAUAGAUAUGGCAAAAGUCAGAGAGUUACUCAAGGAGCUGUGGUGAUUUUGAUUCUUGUGGUCAUGAGCAUGUUGGUAGAAAAGACCAAAGGAAUCCAUCUUCUCUGGAUGGGUUGCACCCUGCUCCUCGUGAAGCAUAUGGAGCUCAAGUUAUGUGGCAUCUAUAGGAGAUGAUGGGGAAAGUUGAUCUGAAAAAGGAGACCGAAGCAGAUAUUAA
rnacentral:lncRNA from 1 species